AAGACUUGGAGAAAUGACAGUAAUUCAACAUCUGAGUCUCCUCCUCCUGACUGCAGAGGUGGCUUCAUGACAGACAACUGUUUGAUUCCAGCUGUGAACAUCAGACCAACAACUCACAACACUUAUUCAUCCUGAACCUUCAAAAACAGCAUUUCACCUCUGCAGACAUGGAAAAACUCACUGCAGUUCUGUUCUGCUUCUCUCUCAUAGGUAACACGAUGGAAGAUGAGAUUACUGCCAGCAGUGCUGAAGUGUUUUCAUCAGAGGGCCGUAGUGCUACUCUGUCCUGUACCUAUUCAGUUAAAGCUCAAAAUCUCCAGUGGUAUCGACAGGAUCCUGGAUCAGCUCCUCAGUUCCUUCUCCUGAUCACUGAUACAAAACCACCUUCAGUAGUGGAAGCUAAACCUCCUCACCCUCGACUGACUGCUAUACUGAAUGAGGAGAGAAAUCAAGUUGAUCUGAAGAUCUCCUCAGCUAAGCUGUCUGACUCUGCUGUGUACUACUGUGCUCUGAGGCCCACAGUGACAGGAAACACCAAAACUCUGUACAAAAACCUUUGGAGCAAAGACAACACAAUACUCCACAACGUCCACCAGAGGGAGACACACUCUGUUAACCUUCAACAUGAUGUAGUCUAGAAUCACUUUACCUUAGAAGUGUAACUGAGAGAAGAGAAACUACAGAGCUACGAGGAGACGGAGAGACUCAGGGAGGAGCUGAGCUGUUACUGAACUAUAGAAGAGAGAGGAACUUCUAGAUUCAACAGAGAUCAAUACACACACCAGACUACUUUAUCCAGCAUGCAGUCAUUGGAUCAUUUUGUGCUUUUUCUACUUUUCAUUUCAAUUAU